rnacentral:rRNA from 1 species
AACGAACGCUGGCGGCGUGGCUAAGACAUGCAAGUCGAACGGUAGGUUAUAGCAAUAUGGCCUAUAGUGGCGGACGGGUGAGUAAUAAAUAGGUAACGUACCCUGGGCACGGGGAUAGCGUCGUCCCGAGCAAUCGGGGCUUUGCGAAAGUGACGGUAAUACCCGGUAAUGUCUUCGAGUGGCAUCACUCGAAGACCAGAGGUGGGGACCUUCGGGCCUAUCGGCCUGGGAGCGGCCUAUUUCCUANCAGCUAGUUGGUGAGGUAACGGCUCACCAAGGCUUCGACGGGUAACCGGACUGAGAGGUCGGCCGGUCACAUCGGGACUGAGACACUGCCCGGACAUCUACGGAUGGCUGCAGUAACGAAUAUUCCGCAAUGGGCGCAAGCCUGACGGAGCGACGCCGCGUGGAGG